UCUACUCACUCACUGCAUCAGCACCAACAAAGACAACUACAACAACAGGCUUUCUUUUUCUUUCUCUUUCUCUGUUCUCCGCAGACAAUGCGCGAAUGAACACAAUGCGUGGAAGAGCCAAUUGAAUUGAUUUGAAUUGAAUUGAAUUGAAAGAUUGAAUUGAUCUCUUUCGCAUUCAGCACAACGACACCAAGCACUACUCUCAGUGGAGGUGUGUUUGGUGUUUCGUUUGUUUGUUGUGAUGGUGGAAGCAGGUGAGGAUUGUUGCGUGAAGGUGGCGGUCCACGUGCGACCGCUCAUCGGCGAGGAGAAGGUUCAGGGAUGCAAGGAUUGCGUCACCGUCGUUCCAGGGAAGCCUCAGGUACAAAUUGGUGCCCAUUCCUUUACAUUUGAUCAUGUUUAUGGGAGCACUGGUUCUCCCUCAUCUGCCAUGUUCGAUGAAUGUGUUGCUUCCCUUGUCGACGGUUUGUUCCAAGGAUAUAAUGCUACUGUUCUCGCAUAUGGUCAGACAGGUUCCGGGAAAACCUACACCAUGGGAACUGGCUUUAAAGAUGGUUGCCAAGAGGGAAUAAUACCUCUAGUCAUGAGUUCCUUGUUUGACAAAAUCGAGACCUUAAAGCAUCAGAUGGAAUUUCAGUUGCAUGUUUCCUUUAUCGAGAUCCUUAAAGAAGAAGUAAGAGACUUGUUGGAUCCAUCAUCUAUGAACAAACCAGAAACUGCAAAUGGACACGCAGGGAAAGUGACUAUUCCUGGGAAACCACCGAUACAAAUUCGUGAGUCAUCAAAUGGAGUCAUUACUCUAGCAGGAUCUACUGAAUUCAGUGUUACAACUCUAAAAGAAAUGGCUGCGUGCCUGGAACAAGGAUCAUUGAGUAGAGCAACUGGGAGCACAAAUAUGAACAACCAAUCCAGUCGUUCACAUGCUAUCUUCACCAUCACUUUAGAACAAAUGCGGAAAUUCAAUAGUCCUGGUGAGAUCAGUUUAAAUGAUACAAUGAAUGAAGAAUAUCUCUGUGCCAAGUUGCACUUGGUAGAUCUUGCUGGAUCAGAACGAGCUAAAAGAACAGGGUCUGAUGGUCUCCGUUUUAAGGAAGGAGUUCACAUUAACAAAGGUCUUCUAGCACUCGGUAAUGUUAUUAGUGCACUUGGUGAUGAAAAGAAGAGAAAAGAAGGAGUUCAUGUUCCUUAUCGGGACAGUAAACUUACUAGGCUUUUGCAGGAUUCACUUGGCGGUAACAGCAGAACUGUAAUGAUAGCCUGCAUAAGUCCUGCUGAUAUUAAUGCUGAGGAAACCCUUAACACUUUGAAGUAUGCAAAUCGUGCACGCAACAUCCAGAACAAGCCUGUUGUCAAUAGAGAUCCCAUGUCCAAUGAAAUGCUAAAAAUGCGACAACAACUUGAGUAUUUGCAAGCAGAACUUUGUGCUCGCUCUGGUGGCUCUUCCGAGGAAGUUCAGGUCCUCAAGGAAAGGAUUUCUUGGCUUGAAGCAGCUAAUGAAGAUCUUCGUUGUGAACUUCAUGAAUACCGCAGUAGAUGCUCUGUUGUAGAACAAUGUGAAAAGGAUGCUUAUGAUAAUAGCACAUGUAAUGCAAAGACUGAUGGUCUUAAGAGGGGCUUACCUAUAACAAACUCUGAUUAUCCAAUGAAUGAAACAACAGCAGGCGAUUCAAGGGAAAUCGAAGAAGUAGCAAAAGAGUGGGAGCAUACUCUUCUGCAAAAUAGUAUGGAUAGAGAGUUACAUGAAUUGAAUAAACGCUUGGAGCAAAAAGAGUCUGAGAUGAAGCUUUUUGGAAUAUCUGAUGCUGAAGCACUCAAGCAGCACUUUGGAAAGAAGAUAGUAGAACUGGAGGAUGAGAAAAGAGUUGUUCAGCGAGAGAGGGAUCGUCUUUUGGCCGAAGUUGAAAAUCUUGCUGCCAAUUCUGAUGGACAAAUGCAGAAAUCAGAGGAUAUCCAUGCCCAAAAACUGAAAACACUUGAAGCCCAGAUUCUUGAUCUGAAGAAGAAACAGGAGAGUCAGGUCCAGCUUCUGAAGCAAAAGCAAAAAAGUGAUGAAGCAGCGAAGCGAUUGCAAGAUGAAAUACAAUCCAUAAAGGCCCAGAAGGUUCAACUGCAACAUAGGAUAAAACAAGAGGCUGAACAGUUUCGACAAUGGAAGGCUUCUAGAGAAAAAGAGCUCCUGCAAUUAAAGAAGGAAGGAAGGAGAAAUGAGUUUGAACGGCAUAAGCUGCAAGCUUUGAAUCAGCGCCAGAAAAUGGUCCUCCAGAGGAAGACUGAAGAAGCUGCAAUGGCCACCAAAAGGUUAAAGGAGUUGCUUGAAGCUCGUAAAUCUUCCAGCCGAGACACUUUGGUUGCAAUGAAUGGAAGUGGAACGAAUGGACAGAGCAAUGAGAAGCCCUUACAACGGUGGCUUGAUCAAGAGCUGGAAGUCAUGGUAAAAGAGCAUGAAGUUCGAUUUGAGUAUGAGAAGCAAAGUCAAGUGCGAGCUGCCCUUGCGGAGGAGUUGGCCAUGCUAAAGCAAGUAAACGGGUUUGCUGCCAAGGGUCUCAGUCCUCCAAGAGGAAAGAAUGGAUUUGCUAGAGCAUCCUCCAUGUCACCAAAUGCAAGAAUGGCCAGAAUAGCUUCACUUGAGAGCAUGUUGAGCAUAUCAUCUAAUUCACUUGUGGCGAUGGCUUCUCAACUUUCUGAGGCAGAAGAACGUGAACGGGCCUUCACUAACCGUGGACGAUGGAACCAGUUGCGCUCAAUGGGAGAAGCCAAGAAUUUGCUUCAAUAUUUGUUCAAUUCUGUUGGAGAUGCUAGGUGCCAACUGUGGGAGAAGGACACCGAGAUCAGGGAAAUGAAAGAUCAAAUCAAAGAACUUGUAGGUCUAUUACGGCAAAGUGAAAUCAAGAGAAAGGAAGCUGAGAAGGAACUAAGAGUGAGAGAGCAAGCUAUUGUAACCACGUUGGCUACGCCAAUUUCUGGAAACUCUCCAAAUUCGUUGAAACACUGUGCAGAAGACACAAAGGAACCUUUAUCCCCGGAAUCUCUGCCAGUACAGAAACAGCGCAAAUAUAUGCCGGGCAUCACUAAUGGUCAAGUGAGGGAAUCAGCAGCCUUUAUAGAUCAGAGUAGAAGGAUGGUACCCAUCGGGCAACUGUCAAUGAAAAAACUAGCAAUUGUAGGACAAAGUUCUGGCAAGCUAUGGAGGUGGAAAAGAAGCCACCAUCAGUGGCUAAUGCAAUUCAAAUGGAAGUGGCAGAAGCCAUGGAGACUUUCUGAAUGGAUUCGACACAGCGAUGAGACAAUCAUGAGAACAAGGCCACGUUCACAGGCUUUGCCGUAUGUCAUGUGAAUCUGAAUGCUAUGGUGAUCAUCCAUUUGCUGUUGGCUCAGUUCAUUUUUUAACCUACAAGAAUAAUCCUAGACAUAAAGCAUUGGAAAAAACCAAAAUCUAGGUGCAGUUGCAGGGUAAUAAUUAAUGGGUUGCUGACAAUAACAUUAUACAUACUACCCGAAUGUUGGAAAUGUUUCCGUUGUUUGCUGCUUAUGAAGAGUCUUGUAAAGUAAAGUGUGUAAAAAUGUUGCCGAAGGCUUCCCAUGAAUAGGAGUUGGUGGCAUUUGUGAAGAUCUUGCCAUACAAAUUAUCUAUGAAUAUUGUGUGUAUACCAACACUGAAAGGGGAGAAAAAGAAAUAUUCUUUUGUGGAGUCUUGGAAAUGUGCAUUGAGGGUCUUCUGUUUCUUACUUGUAAGUUGUAAGUUACCAUGGUCUUACCGUGUUUUGUCAGGCAUUGAUUUUUUGUUGAUAGAUAUACUGUAGUCUUCCUCUGUCACAAAGCAACAGAAGGAAAUUCUUCUGUUUUACCUGUAGGUCUUGUGUGUAAAAAAUAUUAACUAUAUUGAAAGAGAUUGUAAUUUACCAUACCAGAGUUUGUAGCAAGGAAAUUUUUAAUCAGUUUUCCCCCCUUUUUAA